rnacentral:rRNA from 1 species
AGUGCAGUAAUGUAUGUAGCCGAGCCGUGCUAACAGACCGAGGGCUUGACCUC